rnacentral:rRNA from 1 species
UACGAAGGGGGCUAGCGUUGUUCGGAAUUACUGGGUGUAAAGGGUGCGUAGGCGGGUGGAUAAGUCAGCGGUGAAAUCUCACGGCUCAACCGUGAAACUGCCGAUGAUACUGUCCAUCUUGAGUUUGGGAGAGGUCGAUGGAAUUCCAAGUGUAGCGGUGAAAUGCGUAGAUAUCUGGAAGAACACCAGUGGCGAAGGCGGUCGACUGGCCCACAACUGACGCUGAGGCACGAAAGCGUGGGGAUCAAACAGG